rnacentral:rRNA from 1 species
AAACUGAGUACCUAGAAUAUGGGAGAGGUAGAUGGAAUUUCUGGUGUAGGGGUAAAAUCCGUAGAGAUCAGAAGGAAUACCGAUUGCGAAGGCGAUCUACUGGAACAUUAUUGACGCUGAGACGCGAAAGCGUGGGGAGCAAACAGGAUUAGAUACCCUGGUAGUCCACGCCCUAAACGAUGUACAUUAGUUGUUGCUAUGCUAGACAUAGCAGUAAUGCAGUUAACACAUUAAAUGUACCGCCUGGGGAGUACGGUCGCAAGAUUAAAACUCAAAGGAAUAGACGGGGACCCGCACAAGCGGUGGAGCAUGUGGUUUAAUUCGACGAUACGCGAAGAACCUUACCUGGCCUUGACAUAGAAAGAAUUUAGCAGAGAUGUAAAAGUGCUAGUUUACUAGAGCUUUCAUACAGGUGCUGCACGGCUGUCGUCAGCUCGUGUCGUGAGAUGUUAGGUUAAGUCCUGCAACGAGCGCAACCCUCGUGUUUAGUUACUAACAGAUUAUGCUGAGGACUCUAGACAUACUGCCUGGGCAACCAGGAGGAAGGUGAGGACGACGUCAAGUCAUCAUGGCCCUUACGGCCAGGGCUACACACGUGCUACAAUGGGGUAUACAAAGAGCAGCGAUACCGCGAGGUGGAGCAAAUCUCAUAAAAUAUCUCCCAGUUCGGAUUACACUCUGCAACUCGAGUGUAUGAA